rnacentral:tRNA from 1 species
GCGCAAGUGGCGGAAUUGGUAUACGCGCACGUUUGAGGGGCGUGUUCCGAAAGGAUUAGGGGUUCGAGUCCCCUCUUGCGCACCA